AGUCGAACGGCAGCGCGGGAGCAAUCCUGGCGGCGAGUGGCGAACGGGUGAGUAAUACAUCGGAACGUGCCCAAUCGUGGGGGAUAACGCAGCGAAAGCUGUGCUAAUACCGCAUAAGAUCUACGGAUGAAAGCAGGGGAUCGCAAGACCUUGCGCGAAUGGAGCGGCCGAUGGCAGAUUAGGUAGUUGGUGAGGUAAAGGCUCACCAAGCCUUCGAUCUGUAGCUGGUCUGAGAGGACGACCAGCCACACUGGGACUGAGACACGGCCCAGACUCCUACGGGAGGCAGCAGUGGGGAAUUUUGGACAAUGGGCGAAAGCCUGAUCCAGCCAUGCCGCGUGCAGGAUGAAGGCCUUCGGGUUGUAAACUGCUUUUGUACGGAACGAAACGGCCUUUUCUAAUAAAGAGGGCUAAUGACGGUACCGUAAGAAUAAGCACCGGCUAACUACGUGCCAGCAGCCGCGGUAAUACGUAGGGUGCAAGCGUUAAUCGGAAUUACUGGGCGUAAAGCGUGCGCAGGCGGUUAUGUAAGACAGUUGUGAAAUCCCCGGGCUCAACCUGGGAACUGCAUCUGUGACUGCAUAGCUAGAGUACGGUAGAGGGGGAUGGAAUUCNNNGUGUAGCAGUGAAAUGCGUAGAUAUGCGGAGGAACNNNNNUGGCGAAGGCAAUCCCCUGNANCUGUACUGACGCUCAUGCACGAAAGCGUGGGGAGCAAACAGGAUUAGAUAUCUCUGGUAGUCCACGCCCUAACGAUGUCAACUGGUUGUUGGGUCUUCACUGACUCAGUAACGAAGCUAACGCGUGAAGUUGACCGCCUG
rnacentral:rRNA from 1 species